rnacentral:rRNA from 1 species
GAUGAACGCUGGCGGCGUGCCUAACACAUGCAAGUCGAACGGAGAUUACGGACGGAAGUUUUCGGAUGGAAGACUGUAGUUCUUAGUGGCGGACGGGUGAGUAACGCGUGGGCAACCUGCCCUAUACAGGGGGAUAGCAGCUGGAAACGGCUGGUAAGACCGCAUAAGUCGGUUAAAUCGCAUGAUUUGAUCGGGAAAUGAGCAAUCAGGUAUAGGAUGGGCCCGCGUCCGAUUAGCCAGUUGGCAGGGUAAAAGCCUACCAAAGCGACGAUCGGUAGCCGGACUGAGAGGUCGGACGGCCACAUUGGGACUGAGACACGGCCCAAACUCCUACGGGAGGCAGCAGUGGGGGAUAUUGCACAAUGGAGGAAACUCUGAUGCAGCGACGCCGCGUGAGUGAAGAAGUAUUUCGGUAUGUAAAGCUCUAUCAGCAGGGAAGAUGAUGACGGUACCUGACUAAGAAGCCCCGGCUAACUACGUG